AAAUACAGUUUAGGGAGUUUUGGAGGAAAGUGCGUUUCCUCAUUAAAUAAUCAAUUGAGUUGACUCCAAUUUGUGUACGUCAAACCAACAAAAAGAACAUAAACUUUUAAUAUUAUGGUCCAGUUGGAUAGGAUUUAUAAUUUUGAGUAACCUUCCAGUAAAACUUUUUAAUUCAUUAAGUUUUUCCCUGUAUUCAGCCUGUGCUGACAUAGGUUCAGCUGAUAGAAUUCGAAAGAGCAAAGAGAAGAAAAAGGAAAGUCUAGAUUUCUAAAUGCAGAGCAAGAGGGAGAUGAUGGCUCCCAUGAAAGGUAUUAGCAUUGCUUCUAAUAUCACUUGUGAUAGUUGGCUCAUCAGGGACAUCUGAGUACAUCUUAGUUUUUGAUUCUGCAAUAUCUUUGCAAGGUAUUGAUACCAUCAUUUCACUUGGAAGUCUUAAAAGGGAGAGUUUAUUUCCUUUCCUUGUUCCCUGUCCUAUAGCUUCCAGUAUCACAUUUCACUCAUUUCUAUACUUUAGUCCUUUGCAUAACUGACAGUGUUCUCUGCUUAUUGCAAAGAUACAUGGUAUUUAACUCAAAGACUUAAGACUCAGAGUCCAUUGAUGGAACAGAGAAUGGAGAGACCCCAGUGGGCAUGGACCCAGUUGGAUAGGACCCUUUCCAAGUCCCUGGGACUCAUAGUGUUUUGGGGUACAAAUAUAUCAUUUUUUUC